GGCACAGUGGUCUAAUGGUAUGACUCCUGCUAUGUAGGUACCUGCUGACUGAGGCAGAGGGUGGGUGAUCUGGGUUCAAUUCCCAGCUGAGCCA
rnacentral:tRNA from 1 species